CAGUGUGUAGUUUAAAUAAAAUAUAGUAUUUGGGUUAUUAAGAUUUUAUCACUGA
rnacentral:tRNA from 1 species